CAAUAGCGUACAUUAAAGUUGCUGCAGUUAAAAAGCUCGUAGUUGCAUUUCCGAGGCAAGGGAUUAGUCCGACCUUUGGUGGGUAUUUAAUCCUCUUGCCUCGUCCUUGAGUGGUGCUUCUUGGUAUUAAGUUAUCGAGGAGAUAGCCGCUCAUCGUUUACUGUGAGAAAAUUAGAGUGUUCAAAGCAGGCUUAUGCCGUUGAAUAUAUUAGCAUGGAAUAAUAAGAUAGGACCUCGGUACUAUUUUGUUGGUUUGAGAACCAAGGUAAUGAUGAAUAGGGACAGUUGGGGGUAUUCGUAUUCAGUUGUCAGAGGUGAAAUUCUUAGAUUUACGGAAGACGAACUACUGCGAAAGCAUUUACCAAGGAUGUUUUCAUUAA
rnacentral:rRNA from 1 species